CGUUAUCAAAAAAAAAUUUAGAAGUCAAGGUAUGUUUGGUUAAGUACAGCAAAUGCACGGGGACAAUUGUGUCCAACUAGUGAAAUUAUUGUUUUGUCAUAAUCACGAUUAUCAAGGUCUAAUUAUCCCCCACCCCAAAUAAUGAAUGUGUGUGUCAAGAAGAUGUCAAGUUCACACAUGCAGCCAGGACUGUUCAAUUUUUGUAUGUGUCUCUCUCCUAGCAGAUGAUAGAGCUCCGACCACCCCAGUAGUAUCCAUGAGGGCCUGUGAUAGACGGGGCAUUCCUGUGAUGACCCGUGCCCGGACCCCACAGGAUAAUCGAGGUCAGACCAGCCCAGUGGUCGCUGGGAGGGCCAAUAUGCAGGCUCGGUGCCCACAGGCUGUCUCAAGUCGGCUAGCACAAGUAACCAGACAAGUUAUUACCCACAGUUCAAG